CCUGCACAAAGGUGAUAUAACUCUUUUGCCUUGGUUCUGUCCUAAGGGAGCCUUGCAACAUAGCUCAGGACCCAGCACCCAGGAAUCAAAUCCGAGUUCGUCUACAGCUGAUUCGGCAGGUACCAGGGCGUCCGCGAUGGUGAGUGAUAGCACCGCGAUGGUGGUAUUGCUCCAUAUGCCUGAGACCCUAACAAAAGCCUAAUUACAACUCAUAUGCCUGGAGCCAGGACAUGUGCAAGAUGGUGAUGUAACUUUCCUCUCUGGAAUGGGUCCUGCACAAAGGAAUGAUAGUAACAUAUUGCAAAGCCAGACACACAGCCAUGAUGGUCCAAGUUAUAUUGGGAUUCAGCCAAUAGAAGAUAUUUUGCCUGUCAUCCCUAAGCUUAGGGCAAUAGGGUCCUGCCCACAAGAAAGAUUGUGACAUCUCACUGGACAAGCACCCACCCAGACUCUGCCAAGAGAGGGGAUUAUUACAUAUUGCAGAGCCCAGCACCUAGGUGGAGUGACUCUCAUCUUUUUCUUCUACCCCGUAUAUAGCCAGCUUGGUGACCUACUAUUUGAGGCUAUACCCAGGCCCAGACCACAGAUGAAAUUGUGCAAUAUGUGGAACAAACACCUAAACAAUAUAUAACACCUUCCUUGGCUCUGUCUACAAAGGGCAGUUUUAUAUAUCACUGGGACCAUCAACCAGGUGAUGUUGUGCCAUAUAACUGAGACUGUAACAAAAGCCUAAUAACAAGACGUAUGUCUGGAGCCCCGAUAUGCACAGGAUGGUGAUAUAACCCUCUUCUCUGGAAUGGGCCCCACGCAAAGGAAGGAUAGUGACAUAUUGCAAGCCCAGGCACACAGGCCCAGAGCACAGUUGAAAUUGUGACAUAUGUACACCAAGCAACCAAGCAAUGUAUAACACCUCAUUUGGCAAUGGAAUCGAGGGCACUUUUACAUAUCACUGAGACCAGCGCCCAGCUGAUGUGAAAUAUUGGCCUGAACCCUGCCUACAAAAGCAUUGUGGCUUUUAUCUAGCUCCAUUACAUAAGUGAUGUGACUUCCUUCUACUGCCUUGGCCCUGCACUUAUGGUGAAUCGUGACACAAAAUUGGGUAGAGCAACCAGCCUGGGCCCUGACCAGCACAGAGAUUGUGGCAUAUUGCUGAACCCAGGACCAAGAUGAAGUCACUCUCCUGCCUUGAUCCUGCACACAGGGACCCUUGUGACAUAUAUACAGGCCAAUUGCCUAGGCCAACUGACUCUCUUCCCAAAGUCAUCCACACCUGGGGAUGAGCUUGCCCACAUCCUGCAGAGGAAAAGCCAACUUUUGUCAAGAAUCAGAAUGCACCAGCCUUGCCUUUGGAGCCACCUACAUCGACUUCCUGAACCAUGCCUUGCUGAGGGCUUGUUUCUGUGGAGCCAGCCUCUUCUCCCUGCCUUAGGGAACACUUCUCACCAUGGCUUGUUUCAAACUGCAGAGUUCUAGGUAUCCGAGAGCUGAGGGACCUUUGUCAGCCAUCUCUGAGGCUCAGCUUCUUGGGCUCUACAAUAUAGAUAAUAAUGCCCAGUUCAUGAGGUUGUCUUGAAGGUAAAAUAGGUAUGCAAUGUGAUGAGGUGUCACAAAAAAAGGUGAGAGGUGUACUGAUUUAUUUUGUCUCCAAUGUACCCAAGUCAUCCUCCAAACUGAAACCUUGUCACUGACCCACCAACAAACCCUGCCAUGUGCCACAGCCUCAUGAUUCUCUCCUCUCACUAGAGGAGUGCAUGGAGUGAUUUUUUUUCCACUUGGUGAUCUUUUUGUAUUAGUCAUUCAUUAAUUCUGCAGUUUGAUGAGGGUCUGCUUGUGCCAGCCUCUUACUAUUCAACUCCCUCUCUCCUUAAUUCACAUGAAUGAAUUUUUUCAUUCAGCUACAAUGUGCAUUCAAGGAGCAUUCACAAACAGCACUCAUUAGCUGUGGAAUGAUGCCAAGUGGCUCACGUGGACUGAAGGCCAUGUGCUUGGUCCAUGAACAACCUUCCAAUCUGCCAGGUUCAGCCUAGUUUCCAGGUUCUACACACAGCCUCCUCACCACAGCAAGGCCACUUGAUCCCUAUCUACAGAAAGUGUCAGCCCUUCUAGCAGAGGUCCUGUAGUACUUCAACAACUAUGGCCACACUCAGGGACUUGAUGUUAAGAAUACUUAUUACCAGCCCAACUCUGACCUAGUGCCCAGAAUCCAGUGGUAUGGUUUCUGAGCCCAAGCCCUACUCUGGGCUUUAAUCCUUGGGACUAUAUUUCUACCCUGGGUCCUGUUUUAGCGGAUGCCUUAGUACUCCAAGUCUCUCCUGAGUCCAAAGCACUGCCUAGGUAUUACCAGCCUUUCCUGAGAAUAAGCCCUCAAUUCUAGGCUGACUGGGGUUCUGCUCCAUGUGAAGAGACUUCUGUGGGGCUCAGCUGCCUAGACUCCCAAAUUCCACCCACUCUGUGUGUCAGAGAAACUUUUGCUUCUUUACUUUGGGCCCAACCUUUCUUGACUCUCUACCUGGUCCACCAUUGUCAUGUGUAUUUAGAUGUCCUUCUUGGCCAACCAAAUGGAGUUAUUCACCUGUAACAACACCAAGAUCAAGUACCCUCAGGUGCAGUCCCACCUGUGUGGGACAGUCUAUGUGCAAUCUCUCACCUGGUCUCCUACUCAUUUCUGAUGAAUCUGAAGACAAGGCCAACAAAUUAGAUAAACAGAGUCCACCACCUCCCUCACUCAGUGUUGAGCAGAUUUCUGGGGUUGCUGUCCACUCUCUCAUGGUCCCAGGAGCUCUAACAUGCCCCAACUUUGUCUUGACCUUUGAGGCAUUCUGCCCUUUCCUUCAGUGAGGAGUUGAGACAGAGAGGCUGUAGACAGGAACGGCAGGGGUCUGGGCUUGGCUACAUUGCCUCUGGCACUUGCUCCACUACACUUCUUCACAGCCACACCUGAGACCUUAGAGGGACCAUCAAGGUCAUUGCUCAUCCCCACAGGAAAACCAGCCUUGGAAAAUAAAUAAACGACCAUGGACUUGUUUGAUGGGCCAAAGACAAUAAAGGGGCUGAUGUUUGACAAAACAGUAAAGACACCAACCAGUUAGCGCCCCAAACAAUGCAAGUUAUCUAGAAAGGGAAGAAAGCCUUGGCAUGAUUAAUUAGCACCUGGAAUACAAAUUCACAUGAGAAUGAGGAGAAGACACAUAAAGUAAUAAAUGCAUUGUGAAAUCCA